GUAACUAGGAGAACAUGUCCCUUGGCAUCAGUAUUGAUCUUCAGUAAUUUGUCCUUGAUAUUGAGAGAAGAAGAUCAAACUAUUUGAACCGGAUUGCUGUACUUCAACAUGUAAAGUGAAAAUGCAGACCCAGUUGACUAUAUUUCACUCAUUUGGGCCAAAGAAGCAGAAGUUUAUAACUAUCUCCUACUACAUCUAUAUUGUUUAUCACUGGAAGAAGAAAAAUAGACUAUUAUAGCAUAAAAUAGAGAUCAAAAAGAAAGUUACAGCAGUGC
rnacentral:lncRNA from 1 species